rfam:Halothiobacillus sp. XI15 contig_5, whole genome shotgun sequence.
CAGGGACGGCGCCACAAGGACGUGGCGCCGAGAUCCGCCGCGACACGACGUCGCGUCGAACCGUGCCCGUC